GUUUAACGAAGUGGUUGAUGCCAUGCUUCCAAGAAAAGCUUCUAAGCUUCAGGUAACCAGGAACCGUACCCCAAACCGACACAGGUGGUUGGGUAGAGAAUACCAAGGCGCUUGAGAGAACUCGGGUGAAGGAACUAGGCAAAAUGGCACCGUAACUUCGGGAGAAGGUGCGCCGGUGAGGGUGAAGGACUUGCUCCGUAAGCUCAUGCCGGUCGAAGAUACCAGGCCGCUGCGACUGUUUAUUAAAAACACAGCACUCUGCAAACACGAAAGUGGACGUAUAGGGUGUGACGCCUGCCCGGUGCCGGAAGGUUAAUUGAUGGGGUUAGCUAACGCGAAGCUCUUGAUCGAAGCCCCGGUAAACGGCGGCCGUAACUAUAACGGUCCUAAGGUAGCGAAAUUCCUUGUCGGGUAAGUUCCGACCUGCACGAAUGGCGUAACGAUGGCGGCGCUGUCUCCACCCGAGACUCAGUGAAAUUGAAAUCGCUGUGAAGAUGCAGUGUAUCCGCGGCUAGACGGAAAGACCCCGUGAACCUUUACUAUAGCUUUGCACUGGACUUUGAAUUUGCUUGUGUAGGAUAGGUGGGAGGCUUUGAAGCGUGGACGCCAGUCUGCGUGGAGCCAACCUUGAAAUACCACCCUGGCAACUUUGAGGUUCUAACUCAGGUCCGUUAUCCGGAUCGAGGACAGUGUAUGGUGGGUAGUUUGACUGGGGCGGUCUCCUCCUAAAGAGUAACGGAGGAGUACGAAGGUGCGCUCAGACCGGUCGGAAAUCGGUCGUAGAGUAUAAAGGCAAAAGCGCGCUUGACUGCGAGACAGACACGUCGAGCAGGUACGAAAGUAGGUCUUAGUGAUCCGGUGGUUCUGUAUGGAAGGGCCAUCGCUCAACGGAUAAAAGGUACUCCGGGGAUAACAGGCUGAUACCGCCCAAGAGUUCAUAUCGACGGCGGUGUUUGGCACCUCGAUGUCGGCUCAUCACAUCCUGGGGCUGAAGCCGGUCCCAAGGGUAUGGCUGUUCGCCAUUUAAAGUGGUACGCGAGCUGGGUUUAGAACGUCGUGAGACAGUUCGGUCCCUAUCUGCCGUGGACGUUUGAGAUUUGAGAGGGGCUGCUCCUAGUACGAGAGGACCGGAGUGGACGAACCUCUGGUGUUCCGGUUGUCACGCCAGUGGCAUUGCCGGGUAGCUAUGUUCGGAAUAGAUAACCGCUGAAAGCAUCUAAGCGGGAAACUAGCCUCAAGAUGAGAUCUCACUGGGACCUUGAGUCCCCUGAAGGGCCGUCGAAGACUACGACGUUGAUAGGUUGGGUGUGUAAGCGCUGUGAGGCGUUGAGCUAACCAAUACUAAUUGCCCGUGAGGCUUGACCAUAUAACACCCAAGCAAUUUGACUACUCGAAAGAGCAUCAGAUUGCGGUGUGUGAAGACGCAAUGAACCGAAAGUUCGAUGCUCACAAAA
rnacentral:rRNA from 1 species